rnacentral:rRNA from 1 species
GCGGAGGGAUCAUUACCGAGUUUACAACUCCCAAACCCAAUGUGAACCAUACCAAACUGUUGCCUCGGCGGGGUCACGCCCCGGGUGCGUCGCAGCCCCGGAACCAGGCGCCCGCCGGAGGGACCAACCAAACUCUUUACUGUAGUCCCCUCGCGGACGUUAUUUCUUACAGCUCUGAGCAAAAAUUCAAAAUGAAUCAAAACUUUCAACAACGGAUCUCUUGGUUCUGGCAUCGAUGAAGAACGCAGCGAAAUGCGAUAAGUAAUGUGAAUUGCAGAAUUCAGUGAAUCAUCGAAUCUUUGAACGCACAUUGCGCCCGCCAGUAUUCUGGCGGGCAUGCCUGUCCGAGCGUCAUUUCAACCCUCGAACCCCUCCGGGGGGUCGGCGUUGGGGAUCGGGAACCCCUCAGACGGGAUCCCGGCCCCGAAAUACAGUGGCGGUCUCGCCGCAGCCUCUCCUGCGCAGUAGUUUGCACAACUCGCACCGGGAGCGCGGCGCGUCCACGUCCGUAAAACACCCAACUUCUGAAAUGUUGACCUCGGAUCAGGUAGGAAUACCCGCUGAACUUAAGCAU